AACGAACGCUGGCGGCAGGCCUAACACAUGCAAGUCGAACGCCCUAGCAAUAGGGAGUGGCAGACGGGUGAGUAACACGUGGGAACCUUCCCUAUAGUACGGAAUAGCCCAGGGAAACUUGGAGUAAUACCGUAUACGCCCGAGAGGGGAAAGAUUUAUCGCUAUAGGAUGGGCCCGCGUCGGAUUAGCUAGUUGGUGAGGUAAUGGCUCACCAAGGCAACGAUCCGUAGCUGGUUUGAGAGAAUGACCAGCCACACUGGGACUGAGACACGGCCCAGACUCCUACGGGAGGCAGCAGUGGGGAAUCUUGGACAAUGGGCGCAAGCCUGAUCCAGCCAUGCCGCGUGAGUGAUGAAGGCCUUAGGGUUGUAAAGCUCUUUUGCCGGGGACGAUAAUGACGGUACCCGGAGAAUAAGUCCCGGCUAACUUCGUGCCAGCCGCCGCCGUAAUAC
rnacentral:rRNA from 1 species